UACGGAGGGUGCAAGCGUUUAAUCGGAAUUACUGGGCGUAAAGCGUGCGUAGGCGGUUCGUUAAGUCUGUUGUGAAAGCCCCGGGCUCAACCUGGGAAUGGCAAUGGAUACUGGCGAGCUAGAGUGUGUCAGAGGAUGGUGGAAUUCCCGGUGUAGCGGUGAAAUGCGUAGAGAUCGGGAGGAACAUCAGUGGCGAAGGCGGCCAUCGUGGGACAACACUGACGCUGAGGCACGAAAGCGUGGGGAGCAAACAGG
rnacentral:rRNA from 1 species